UAAACGACUCUCGGCAACGGAUAUCUCGGCUCUCGCAUCGAUGAAGAACGUAGCGAGAUGCGAUACUUGGUGUGAAUUGCAGAAUCCCGUGAACCAUCGAGUCUUUGAACGCAAGUUGCGCCCGAAGCCUUCAGGCCGAGGGCACGUCUGCCUGGGCGUCACAC
rnacentral:rRNA from 1 species